UAGUUGGUGGGGUAAAGGCUUACCAAGGCAAUGAUGCGUAGCCGAACUGAGAGGUUGAUCGGCCACAUUGGGACUGAGACACGGCCCAAACUCCUACGGGAGGCAGCAGUAGGGAAUCUUCCACAAUGGGCGAAAGCCUGAUGGAGCAACGCCGCGUGGGUGAAGAAGGUCUUCGGAUCGUAAAACCCUGUUGUUAGAGAAGAAAGUGCGUGAGAGUAACUGUUCACGUUUCGACGGUAUCUAACCAGAAAGCCACGGCUAACUACGUGCCAGCAGCCGCGGUAAUACGUAGGUGGCAAGCGUUAUCCGGAUUUAUUGGGCGUAAAGGGAACGCAGGCGGUCUUUUAAGUCUGAUGUGAAAGCCUUCGGCUUAACCGGAGUAAUGCAUUGGAAACUGGGAGACUUG
rnacentral:rRNA from 1 species